rnacentral:lncRNA from 1 species
GAGACAGGGUCUCACUGUGUCGUCCAGGCUGCCGUGCAGUGGUGUGAUCUCAGCCCACUACAGCCUCAACCUCCUGGGCUCAAGCGAUCCUCCCACCUCAGCCUCCAGAAUAGCUGAGACUACAGGCGCACACCACCGCACCCGGCUAAUUUUUUGUAUUUUUAGUAGAGACGAGGUUUUGCCAUGUUGCCCAGGCUGGUCUCAAACUCCUGGAUUCAAGGGUUCCACCCACCUCCCCCUCCCAAGUGUUGGGAUUACAGGUGUGAGCCACAGGGCCCCCCCUCUGCUUUCCUUUCAAUGAUUAAAUUCUGUCUUUAGAUUAUUCCUCUGCUCCUAAAUCUUUGUCUUUUUCUUUUUUUUUUUUUUUUUUGAGACAGAGUCUCCCUCUGUCACCCAGGCAGAGGUUGCAGUGAGCCAAGAUCACAGCACUGCAUUCCAGCCUGGGAGACAGAGAGACUGUGUCUCAAGUAAUAAAAUAAAAUAAUUUAGCCAGUUUUAGAUGUUCUGUUGUGAGCAACAGAAAGAAGACUAAGACAUCACAUAUAAUAUAUAUAUAUAUAGAUAUCUAUCAUAUAUCCUUGUGUCAGAGGUGUUUGAACCAGAGUGAUUCCAUCUUGAAUAGGAAAUGGGUAAAAUGAGACUGACACCUGCUGGCCUCAUCCCAGGAGGUUAGGCAUUCUAAGUCACAGGGUGAGAGAUAAGAGGUCACAAGAGAGACAGGUCACAAAGGCCCAGCUGAUAAAACAGGAUGCAGGCCAGGCGCGGUGGCUCACACCUGUAAUCCCAGCACUUUGGGAGGCUGAGGUGGGCGGAUCACGAGGUCAGGAGAUCAAGACCAUCCUGGCUAACACAGUGAAACCCCGUCUCUACUAAAAAUACAAAAAAUUAGACGGGUAUGGCGGCGGACACCUGUAGUCCCAGCUACUCGAGAGGCUGAGGCAGGAGAAUGUGUGAACCCGGGGGGCGGAGCUUGCAGUGAGCUGAGAUCGCACCACUGCACUCCAGCCUGGGCGACAGAGCAAGACUCCAUCUCAAAAUAAAUAAAUAAAUAAAUAAAAAUAAAUAAAUAAAUAAAUAAA